UACGUAGGGUGCAAGCGUUAAUCGGAAUUACUGGGCGUAAAGCGUGCGCAGGCGGUGAUGUAAGACAGUUGUGAAAUCCCCGGGCUCAACCUGGGAACUGCAUCUGUGACUGCAUCGCUGGAGUGCGGCAGAGGGGGAUGGAAUUCCGCGUGUAGCAGUGAAAUGCGUAGAUACGCGGAGGAACACCGAUGGCGAAGGCAAUCCCCUGGGCCUGCACUGACGCUCAUGCACGAAAGCGUGGGGAGCAAACAGG
rnacentral:rRNA from 1 species